rnacentral:rRNA from 1 species
AGUCGAACGAGACCUUCGGGUCUAGUGGCGCACGGGUGCGUAACGCGUGGGAAUCUGCCCUUUGCUACGGAAUAACUCAGAGAAAUUUGUGCUAAUACCGUAUAAUGUCGUAAGACCAAAGAUUUAUCGGCAAAGGAUGAGCCCGCGUAAGAUUAGCUUGUUGGUGGGGUAAAGGCCUACCAAGGCGACGAUCUUUAGCUGGUCUGAGAGGAUGAUCAGCCACACUGGGACUGAGACACGGCCCAGACUCCUACGGGAGGCAGCAGUGGGGAAUAUUGGACAAUGGGCGAAAGCCUGAUCCAGCAAUGCCGCGUGAGUGAUGAAGGCCUUAGGGUUGUAAAGCUCUUUUACCAGGGAUGAUAAUGACAGUACCUGGAGAAUAAGCUCCGGCUAACUCCGUGCCAGCAGCCGCGGUAAUACGGAGGGAGCUAGCGUUGUUCGGAAUUACUGGGCGUAAAGCGUGCGUAGGCGGCUAUUCAAGUCAGAGGUGAAAGCCUGGAGCUCAACUCCAGAACUGCCUUUGAAACUAGAUAGCUAGAAUCUUGGAGAGGUGAGUGGAAUUCCGAGUGUAGAGGUGAAAUUCGUAGAUAUUCGGAAGAACACCAGUGGCGAAGGCGACUCACUGG